rnacentral:lncRNA from 1 species
GACUCAGGCAAAACCCAGCUGUCCCUGGCGCUGUCUCCCAACAGCCCUGCAGGGCCCAGUGCUGGACCAGGGCCUUGUCUCCAGCCUCUCCCCCAUGGGACUCUGGGGCCUUUGGGGGCCCUUGGGGGCCUUCCUGCACCCUCACACCUACUCAUCUCUGGACUCAGCCUCAGUGUGAAUGCUCACCUCGGGCUGAGCCAACCCCUCCAGACACGUUCUGCAGCUCGAGGAAGGAACUGCCCUUUGCAGCUGGGAUCUGCCCGAGUUUCAGCAGCAGCCUUGAAUUGUAAUCCCGAGCGGCUGGCGAAUAACACAGCACACAGCACUCGAGAGCCCAGGUCCCUGGCUCGGCGUCCCCAGACUCUGCCAGGCUGGCCUCACCGUGUGUAUCGAGGUGUUCUCCCUGCAAGGUCUUCAUCAUUCCCCAAUUGCUCGCAUUUAUUUUUCUCCUUCCUUGACCACCCUGGCCUGCCACACCCCCAUCCUAUGACUAUAAAAACUCGCGAGACCCUGGCAGGCACGCACAAGCUGCUGGACGUGGAGAGGAGCGGAUUGGCAGAGGAGCACUCAGGCGGCUGGACGUCGAGAGGAACGCACUGACGGGCGCCGGCACCCCGGCAGGCUACCAACCGGCAGCAGAAUGACCUGGAGUUUGGCUGGGGCAGCCAGAGGAGAGCCCGGGCCCGACUCCAGGGGAAAACCGUCCCACUCCAUCUUCUUCUGCCUUCCCCCAUCUGCUACCUCCACUCAAUAAAACCUUGCACUCAUUCUCCG